AAGUGCUACUACUAAAUUCUAACCAAUUUUCAAAUUUCGACACGUUGUAAUGCCGUUUCCUGACCAUCAGAUUUCUGUCAAAUCUUCCCCCAAAGUCCAGGAAAUGGCAUUUCAGAGACUCUAAAUUAAAAAAUUUUCCCGGGGGGCAUGCCCCCGGACCCCCCUAGACAAACCUCGCACCUGCGGCGCUCGGCUCGUGCCUUCGGCCCUCGUUUAUCAAGGGUAAUAUUAUAGAGGCGC